ensembl:lncRNA
GAUUUUGGAAGAUGAUUUGAAAUCGUGGAGCUAUUGAAUACACAUCGCCCCGUGAUCAAUUUGAUAGAUUAUUAACGUUUACUGAUACCUAAAGUUGGAUUACAAAAGUAUUUCGAAGUGUUUUGUGAAAGUUUAUCGUCAACUUUUUUAAUUUUAAAAAAUGACGUAGCGUUUUCAAACGGUGUUUUUUUCUGAAUCACACAGUUUCCAUAGAUGGCUAUUUUGGGUAUAUAUGGACCGAUUUAAUCGGAAAAAAAGACCCAAUAGUGAUGUUUAUGGGACAUAUAGGAGUGCCAACAAAGAAGCUCGUCAAAGGGAAAGUCAUCCCUAGGACCAUGCCCCAGGACUACCUGACAUGAUGACUCCUUGCUGUCCCCAGUCCACCUGGCCGUGCUGCUGCUCCAGUUUCAACUGUUCUGCCUUAUUAUUAUUCGACCAUGCUGGUCAUUUAUGAACAUUUGAACAUCUUGGCCAUGUUCUGUUAUAAUCUCCACCCGGCACAGCCAGAAGAGGACUGGCCACCCCACAUAGCCUGGUUCCUCUCUAGGUUUCUUCCUAGGUUUUGGCCUUCUAGGGAGUUUUUCCUAGCCACCGUGCUUCUACACCUGCAUUGCUUGCUGUUUGGGGUUUUAGGCUGGGUUUCUGUACAGCACUUUGAGAUAUCAGCUGAUGUAUGAAG